UACGUAGGGGGGCUAGCGUUGUCCGGAAUCAUUGGGCGUAAAGAGCGUGUAGGCGGUCCGGUAAGUCCGCUGUGAAAGUCGGGGGCUCAACCCUCGAAUGCCGGUGGAUACUGUCGGGCUAGAGUGCGGAAGAGGCGAGUGGAAUUCCUGGUGUAGCGGUGAAAUGCGCAGAUAUCAGGAGGAACACCUAUUGCGAAGGCAGCUCGCUGGGACGUAACUGACGCUGAGGAGCGAAAGCGUGGGGAGCAAACAGG
rnacentral:rRNA from 1 species